AUUGAACGCUGGCGGCAGGCUUAACACAUGCAAGUCGAACGAGUGGCGGACGGGUGAGUGAUGCUUGGGCAUCUAGCUUAUGUAGGGGGAUAACUACGGGAAACUGUAGCUAAUACCGCUUAACAUAGUAUGAGCCCAAGUGGGAUUAGGUAGUUGGUGAGGUAAAGGCUCACCAAGCCGACGAUCUCUAGCUGGUCUGAGAGGAUGACCGGCCACACUGGGACUGAGACACGGCCCAGACGCCUACGGGAGGCAGCAGUGGGGAAGAUUGCGCAAUGGUGGAAACCUGACGCAGCCAUGCCGCGUGAAUGAAGAAGGCUUUCGGGUUGUAAAGUUCUUUCGGUAGCGAGGCGUUACCUACCGAAGAAGCACCGGCUAACUCCGUGCCAGCAGCCGCGGUAAUUC
rnacentral:rRNA from 1 species